AUGCAACAGGACCUAGUGAUUUCAUUAUCUUGAUAAUAUGAAGUAAUACAACACUCAAAUCCUAAAAUUCCUUUUUAUCAUGCUUCUUAGAAACUGUUCAGACUGCUAUACUGACUAGACAGCGUUUGCGUCAACUAACUUCUUGGAAGCAUAGAUAUUUUCGGAAGCAUCUAUAUAAUUUGAACUGUAGAUAUAACAUUAAUAGCUGAAAAUGAUAAAAUCCCAACUUCAGCUAGGAACUAUACCCAGAAUAUUAUGUGCAUCAUUAAGGUCAAAUGAACAUACUUUGUAUUGGGACUGCUAUUCUGACUAGACAGCAUCUGCAUUAAUUAACUUCUUGAAACCAUAAAUUUAUUCUGAAACAUCGAAAUAGCUUGCUAUUGGGGUCUUCACGCGCCUCAGUGUUGAACUACUGCUUGACAAAACAAAGAGAUAAUCAGCAAAUAUCAUUGUUUUAUCAUGAGUAGGGACCUAAAGGGUUAACGAACCAAUAUUAUUUGCAAAACGGUAGGGUCUUGAAGGGGGAUGAAUGAACCAAAUAUUGCAGUUAAUCAUAAUGCUCAAGCUGGUCUUGUAAUGAACCAAAAGGUUCCCAUGGUGAUGUAAGUUUUUCCUGUCCACUGGACAUGUAUUCAUCACCCUUCGCAACUUAGAAAUUAACAAGUUUAUCACUGUUAUAUACCAAGAAACUCUGCUCAACCAAAAAGUACCAUCUUCAACAAAUUUGCAGGGAGACAAAGCCGAAGUAAGAAGAAUUUUCACCAAUAGGGUCGUACAGCCUACCUAGAAUCAUACUAGCUUCUAUGGGGUGAAUGGGAGAUCAUGAAUGCUAAUGGUUAGGUUAGUGGCCUCCAUUGCACUUACGAGGAGUGCUCACCUGAGGGAGGAGCCUACAUCAUAGAAUUCUGUGAUAGAGGAUUGCGUUCGCGCAGCUCCUGCAAUUGUAGUACAAGUUGAGUCCUUAAACAACUAGGUAACAGUUAAAUUACAUACAAGAUGUUGACUACUUAAUAUUAACUAUAUCUACUUAUAUAACACUUAACAGUUGAACUACAAAAAGAAAGUUUUUCAAUAUUGACUCUAGAGUAUACACACAACACGGAUGGCAGCAGCAAGGAACAGGUACUGUCAACGAAUUUGUUUUGCACAACAAGGAGCUGUUAAGGAAUUCGUUUUGCAUUUUAAUUAAUUUAUUCGACUUUCCUCUCUUUCAAAAUUUCAGACUCGUCAGGGUGUUUGAGUAAUAGUUUGUAUCAUCUAGAAGUCUGAUACCCGUUUUCCUCCAACUAGUUUUAGAACAUUUAUUAUCUUGCUCAAGCUGUCUUGCAAGCAGUGAAUGUAGAACAUGAUAUUCUUGAAGUGUCUUGUACCACCUCGAGAUAUAUUUGGCAGAGGUAAGAGCUGAGCUUUAAAGAGAGAAUCACACAUAGAAAACAGUCAUACCUUUCUCGGCCUUUUGGCUAAGAUCAAGUGUAGUAUCUGUUCUUAUCAGUUUAAGAUCUGAUAUGUAGGCCAUAGGUCCACACGAUAUUAAAUUAAUUUUUUAAGGGGGAAGUCCCACCACAAUAGCUUGCUAUUGGGGUCUUCGCGUGUUGCCCAAGUGUUGCACUACUGCUCGGGCCUGGCACACCCCACCAAAUCAAGUAUUCAAAUUCAAAUAUAUUUUGCUAAAUUAGAUUACUGUGAACCAGCCCCCCAUAAUGGUUGAAUCUUGAUGGUUUUGGUUUACCAAAUUUGCAUAAGAGGAGAGUUUGAUGGUACAUUGGAAAGUGCAGAAGUUUCUGUGCCUGUAUUGGGUGGAAUACUAAAAGAGAAAAAUUGGCGCAGACAUCAUGCUUGUUCCUAGGGGGAGGGUCCUAAAAGGGAAAGAUGAAUGAACCGAACUUGGCAUUUAAUCGGGUUCUAGAUGAGUCUUAAGAGUGCCUAGGUUCUUGAGGCAAGAUAAAUUUUUGCACUCAAGCAGAGUUAUUCUUAGGAGUGCCUUGGUUCUUGAGGCAGGAUAAAUUUUUGCACUCAAGCAGAGUUAUUCUUAGGAGUGCCUAGGUUCUUGAGGCAGGAUAAAUUUUUGCACUCCACAAGCAGAACUCUGACAGGGCAUGUUGCAGCAAUUGGUUCAUCACCUUUAUGCAGCUUAAGAAGGUGACAAGUUUGUCACUGUUUUUGCUCCACUGAAACUAAUAUCUCUAUUAAGACUAAUAUCUCUAUUAAGAGAUUCGCAGGGAAAAGAAAACCAAAGUGAAGAAUGCUUGAUAACAGGCCUGCUCAGAAAAUAGGACCAAAAAGACCCAUAAUGAAAAGUAUAAUCAUACUCGCUCCUCUCACAACUAUAUUAAGGGGCACAAGCUUCAGUAUCGUUUCAUUAAGCCAUGAAGUGAGCACAAAGCGAACUAUUCUUUCGCCUUUUACUAAAGAAUACAGUGGAAUCGUCCCCUAUAGUUCAGUUCAAAUAUUUUUGUCCAAUAUGCAGCCUAUGUUUACAUGAUGUUGCAUUUUCAAAAUAUAAGUCCACAGAUUUACAUUGUUUAGUGGACUUUCAAAUUCGAAACAUUCUCGACAAACGAACUACAGUUUUGUAAUAACAGGACUUGGUGUUGAGAUGACAUCAGUACAUAGAUAGAUAGGAUUAUUUUAAACGAACUACAGUUUUGUAAUAACAGGACUUGGUGUUGAGAUGACAUCAGUACAUAGAUAGAUAGAAUUUUAUUUUAUUUUUUUUGGUCAGGAUAGACAGGAUUAUUUGAACAAAAGAUUUCCUUCAAAUCACCCAUAAUUGGUGAUUCCGAAAGUUGGACUCGAGACUGUGUAGAAGUAUGGACUUCUCGAAUUCUGUAAUGGUCCCCCAGGAAAACUUUCCUGAGAUAUUGAAUAAAUGUCCCACAUAGGCUAAUGUUAGUUACCCUAAUAUAUUCAUAUAACACAGUCCAAACUCAUGUAUCUGUCCCUUCGGGGACAUCCGAUAAAAUUGGAACGAGACAGAGAAGAUUAGCAUGGCCCCUGCGCAAGGAUGACACGCACAAAUCGAGAAAUGGUCCAAAUUUUUUUGCUCAAAUUAGCAAUAAAUUUGUUCCAGGACUAAGGUGGUUGUUGCGGGGUGUCUAGCUAAGCCUUGAUUCUUUUUUAUCAAAUGAACUUGGAGAAACUGAUUGAUAUAAUGAUACGUAAUCAAGAUGAUAAAAAAUUGAAGUUGCAUGAAUACAAGUUACCUUCUCAUGCUUCACUUGACCAAGAAACCAGCAUUUCAGAGUAAUGCCAUUACAUGCUUCCUGGAACCAGCCAAUACGCACUCCUUCGCUUCUUUUAUUUCUCUUCUUCCCAACUUUCAGAAGGUGGAAGGCUAAAAAUGGAUAGUCAGUUCCAUGAGAAUAAAAUCAUGAGGAUGGCUAAUACGGUCAUCAUGAAAGAAACUUUAAUUAGUUGCUCAAGACCAAUAUAGUAGGAAGCAAUACACACAUGAUCGCUAAAAAAAAUCAUCUUAAAAAAUUGAAAUAAUUAAAUAAUUGCAAAGCUAUAAAAAUUGAAAAUUUGAACAUUAGACUAGUAACUGAAGUAUUAUAUAAUAUGACAUAUUUAUUUAUUUUUCAAAUAUAUACCCGUACACUUUCUCACGUAGAAAACCACAAAAUUCAAAAUCAAAAUAAAUUCGGAUGAACCAAAUCUUAAGUAAACAAAAUCUUAAGCAUCAAGGCUAAGGUUUUGACAUUUACAGAAGACACCAAGUCAUCAAAAAAGAACACAUGGAUUAGUAAGGGUGCUCGAGAACUGCAUGAUAAGAGGCAUUACUGCAUUACGAUAUAUUAUGCACAUAAUCACUAAGACUCUCAAGCUUAACAAUUUAUUCAUAUAUAUCUUAGAACUUUGAAAGAAACUUUUCAACCACAUUAGGAGCAAUAGAUGCAAACAGUGCGAACAAAAAUUUGCUAAAGUACAGGACCUGUAUUAUUAAGAAGAUAAGCCCCUGUUGCCGAUCAUAAGCCAAAGGAUUAAAUAGACACAUACACAUGCAUUCUUAUGCAAGCACAAACCGAGAUCCAAUUUCUUUUAGACAAAUCAAAUUGCCUUCUAUGACCCAAGCUUGGUAGACUAUAUGGGGGUUGUAUAUUACAAGAGACCUGAAAAGAGAAGGGUGGGUGCAUAUGGCUGCUGCAUAUUAACGGCAAUUCAAAGGAGACUUAAAAAGUACAGGGUGAGUUCACAUGGCUGCAGUAUAUGUAUAUUACAGGGGACUAGAAAACAAUGUCGGUCUAUGACUAUUGACUGCGGCAUAUGACAGGAAACAAACAAAAAAAGAAGAUAUAGGAGUCUGUCAGGCAACUGCAAGAUCACCCCAGCCAGGGACUCGGGCAACUGCAGGACCACCCCAGCCAGGGUGGGUGCAUAUGGCUGCUGCAUAUUACUGGCGAUUCUGGGUGCAUAUUGGCUGCUGCAUAUUACCGACGAUUCAACAGAGACUUAAAAAGUACAGGGUUAGUCCACAUGGUUGCAGUAUAUACAAGAUGUCAAAUUCUGCAAAUAAUAUCCUGGUAAAACAUUAUUGACCUGAUGUAGGUAAAUGCAGUGUGGAUUUUGAGUAAUAUACAGCCCUGAUCAACUCAAAAGCCAGGACCAAAUUAACGGUUUUAAUAAUAGUAAGAAGUCGACAAUCUCAGCUACUUAUAUGAUAAAUUCAUAUAAAUAAUUAAGUUAUGUGUCACAAGAAAAAGGACGUCACUAUAAAAGAAAGAGCAUAAAAGAAAGCAAAGUUUCCACCACAUUGUCCAGGGAAUGGAGCCAGUAUUUGUUUAGAACCCCAGGGAGAUGGUCACACUUUCAGCUGGGUCUGGUAGCGCAGGCCUGUAACCCAAGUGGGAGCCAUAAGAUGGUUGGAGGUUGGAUUGGGCCAGAAGGUUGGGCUAGCAUGGGGUUAUACACUGGCCUGCCCAUUCCAAGUAGGGAGCAGGGUCAUGGGCUUUGGGCGAAAGCCAGGAGUUCAUUUCCCCUAAAGAGGAGGGCAUUGCGCUAGGCUGGCUUCACAGAGCAGCGAACACUUCCCUCUCCUGUCGGUGGAAGGAUAACAAGUCGGUUCUUCACUAGUCCAUCAAACACCGGAUGGGUCAUUCAACCAUACAACCAUCUUUUUAAAUCUGGUUUAAAUAGCCAAGUCACGAGCUUUUUCUGAUUCACACCCAUCAAACGUGUGGGAAAAUGAUUAAAUGUUUAUACACAGGACACUACAAAACAUCCCUCCCCUUGCUCCCCUUCCCCCUUUCAAUAUACUAAGAUACGUUCCUGCCUUCCAUAAGAUAGUAUUUACAUAUAAUCACGAAACCAAAAAGGAGUAAAGUUGGUCUAUCUGAUAACUGCAAACAAAUUAAACUAUCUUCAAUUAGCCUUUUUAAUUUUACCCAAAGGAAAGCAAUAUACAGUUGACAAAGUCUGCUUCCAGGAGACUAAAAAAGAGGACAAAAAUAAGGAAAACAGAUUAGGGGACAGACACUAAGAAAUUUAAACAAAAAUGCAAAUCAUUUACUGACUAAAAGAGGCCAGCAAUAAGGGAAAGUACAAGGUUGACAGACCCACUCUCGGUACACUAGAUGAGUGAUGCAUCUUACUGGAGACUUGGAAAGAAAAGGUGGGUCCAUAUGGCUGCUGCAUAUUACAGGAGACCAAAAAAAAUACGUUCGUUCAGACUGCAGCAUAUUACAGGAGACUUAAACAAUAGGGUUAGUUUACCAUAGACUUAAAAAGAAGAGGGUGGGCUUAGAUAGCUGCAGUAUAUUUGCCGAUAAAAAGAGGAGAGUGAUGAGAGGGAGUAAAUGGUUGACAAACCCAAGCUCGGUAGACUAUAUCAGGGUUGUAUAAUACCAGAAACCUGAAAUGAAAAGUGUGGGUGCAUAUGGCUUCUGCAUAUAACAGGAGACCAAAAAAACAGGGUCAAUCCGGCAGCUGCAUAUUACAGGCGAUUCAACGGAGACUUAAAGAGUACAGGGUGAGUCCACAUGGCUGCUGAAUAUUGCAGGGGCAUGGAAAAACAAGGUCGGUCCAUGACUGCGGCAUAUGACAGGAGACAAGAAAAAAGUUAUAGGAGUCUGUCAGACAACGACCACCCCAGCCAGGGACUCCAGCUGAGAACGAUCCUCUACUACUUGAAUGGUCAACUGACCAAACUGGCUGUUAAUCACGCUCUGGUCAUGCAGUCAUGUUUCAUCAACCAGACUUGGUCACCUGCCUCCACCACAUUGUCCAGGGAAUGGAGCCUGUGUUUGUUUACAGCCCCAGGGAGAUGGUCACACUUUCAGCUGGGUCUGGUAGCACAGGCCUGUAACCCAAGUGGGAGCCAUAAGAUGGUUGGAGGUUGGAUUGGGCCAGAAGGUUGGGCUAGCAUGGGGUUAUACACUGACCUGCCCAUUCCAAGUAGGGAGCAGGGUCAUGGGCUUUGGACGAAAGCCAGGAGUUCAUUUCCCCUAAAGAGGAGGGCAUUGCGCUAGGCUGGCUUCACAGAGCAGCGAACACUUCCCUCUCCUGUCGGUGGAAGGAUAACAAGUCGGUUCUUCACUAGUCCAUCAAACACCGGAUGGGUCAUUCGACCAUACAACCAUCUUUUUUAAUCUGGUUUAAAUAGCCAAAGUCAAAAGCUUCUUCUCAUUCACACCCUCAUCACACACCUAAUGAGUCAUUCAACCAUACAACCAUCUUUCAAGAUCGUUUUCUUAUCUACACACAAUGGGACAUAAUGCUUAGUAAAAACCCUGAUCGGCCAUUCAACCACACAACCAUCUUUCAAUUUAUGCCUAAGGAACAUACUGCUUACUAAAAACCAAUCAAAACAUGCUCAUAAAAUCUGUCAAGUCUAGAUUGCGAAUUUCUUUUAGGACAGAGAGUUGGUAGUAUUAUAAAAGGUAAAUAAAGAAUCGUUAUCAAAGUCUCUGCACAAACAAGUAACACAAACCCCAUAUCGGUAAUUUAGUAAACCAUUAUUUGUGCGCAACAUGUGUCGGGCUACAAUCUGUGCUAAUAAUGAAGUGUUGAACAAAAAUCACAAAUUUAAAAUAAGGGAUGUACAAUGAAAUAGUUGUGAAUUGAAAAUCUACCAAGUGUUAUUUAAGAUACAGAUACAUGUAGGCCCAUGACAAGCAAUUAAAAAAAUGUCCACGAAGCAGGCAACUCAAUGAAACAUGUACACAUACACACUAUAAGGAUAUAAAUCAACAGUUCAUCUUACACAAACAAAUCUACUUCUUAAUGAGUUAAUUAGGCCACAAUCCACAUAGAUCUCGUAGAUAUUCUACUAAAAUAUGGAUCCCGAUGUUAAAAGGGAUUAGGCCAUACUAAAAAGUUAACCCUAACUUACCAUUUGAUAUUUAUACACAUCAAACUACAAAAUCUCUCUCUCUCUGUCCCCCUCUCUCUCUCUCUCUCAAACAAAAAUCCGCAUGCAUAUGUAAACACACAAUAAAAGAAUAAACACAUUAAGAAGAGUGGCGUUUUACCAACCGGCCGGAGUAAGAUCGGAGACUCGCUGAUGGGAAUUUUCAUCUCCUAGAAACACGCGCAAAAAGAAGGGGAGGAGAUGACGCAAAGAAGACUCUUGCUAAACCUCCGGAUAAUAUAUAUGGCAUGUUUUUCUGCUGGAUAAAAGAACCCGGCAUACUUCCAAGUUUUUUGAGAGCACUGUCGAGUGAAACAAGUUAAAUUAAAUAUAGUAAAGUUUGAGCACGGUUGGAUAAAGAGUUUAUCCUCUGUCGUCCUCGAGAGUUUCGUAGAACAGAUACUUAUUUGUAAGGUUAUAAGUCAUUUUUGUCAAAAAAUAUAUAUAUAUAUAGUAAAAAAAAAUUUGUGAAGGAAAUUAAAUUUGAGUCACAAGUUCGGAAGAAUAAUAUAGACUUAUUUUCUCACAUGUUAAGAAUAUAUUUAAAAAUAUAAGUUCAUAUUUAAAAAGAUAAAAUCUCUUUAGUAAGAAUAUAUUGAUAUUAUAUAAAAAUAAUAAUUCAACUUUUUUGCUUAUUUUUCUCUUUCUCUUUAUUUUCUAGCAAAACACGAGAGAAUUUUAUAAGAUUUGUUUCCUUCAAUUUUUUUAGUCCUUUUUUAUAACUAAUCAUAAAGUAGUCUUAUUAAAUGGUUAGUCAUUAUUCAGUUUCGAUUCGCUCCGAAACAAAAGUAUAUUACACGAUUGUACAUAGUCAUGUACGUUAUUGGACAAAAGUAUACCACACGCUUGUACAUAGUCUUGUAUUAUCCUUCAGUUUUUUUAAAUCCUAGUUUUUUUCUAUUAUAAGACAAAAUUAUAUCACACGCUUAUCGUGGCAGAUUCAAAAUUUUACGAAGAAAGAGACUUUAUUAAUAUAAAAAAAAUGUAUUGAAUGGAGGGAGAAGACAUUAGAUUUUUUCCAAAAACAUUUUGGGUGACAAUCUUUAUAAAUAUGUAAUUAUCUUGAAUAUAUUAACCAUUUCUUUCUUUUCCAACCGCCGUCGAAAAUACUUGGGCGAACAGCAGGAAUUGAACGUGCACAUGGUGGAUUCACAAUCCACUGUCAUUGAAUGCAUACGGUGAGCUAUAAUAAUGAUUAAAAGCUCUACAUUUCGAAUAUUACACCAAUCAAAAAACUCGAAAAAACUCCCUAUAAUUAAUGGGUCGGGCUCAACAUUAAAUCUAAUAGACUAGUUUUUUUGUUAAGAAAAAAAACACUAAAUUCGUUUUAUAUGGGAACAAAUUUUCAAAAACAUUGAAGAUGUUAUGGGCUCAGGGAUAGCCCCUUGAGCCCCCUUCUUCAUCCGCCUCCGGAUGUUUAUAAAUACACGGAUCUAAAUUCAAUACAAGAAUGCAAAAGAUUCUUGCGUCGAUUUAAGUGUCUGUGUCUCAUAAGAAAUUCUUAUAAUGAUAACAAUGCAAUAAUACCACUAAAAAUUUAUUAGUCCUGAAUCUGAUAUUUAACAUUUAUAAAAUUUUAAUAUUUUGAGUUAAAUAAUAUAUUAUAUAUGAGCUUAUUAGUGAUAACUUAAUAACUAUAUUUAGUUUGACACAUAUAAAAUUUAAUAUUUAUAUAUUUGUUUAUAUUAUAAAGAGAGUUCUAUAGUUUUUAAAAAUUUAUACAUUUAAAUCAAUUUUGACGAGGCCGUUAUUUUGGAGAUUUCACGUCCUUACACUUCCAUAUAGUGUAGACCGGACAUGUAAAAGACUAGAGUCUCGUGAGUUCUGUCACUGUGAACAGUGAAUAGAAAUACUACACACACAAAAAAAGUCUGCUAAUCUUCUUGCUUAGUCUAGAACAGCAGAGGGUUUCUUACCCGAGCACGGAUUCCCAGGAGCCAAAAAAAUAUAGACGCGCAAGUUUCCGAUCAGGGCGAUCCUGAGAUGUGAUUUAAUUUAUUUCAUUAUGUACUUGUUCAAUUUCAUUUAUUUAUAUAGUCAACAUAUGACCAUCUUCCGAGCAAUUGCUNGAGUUCUAUAGUUUUUAAAAAUUUAUACAUUUAAAUCAAUUUUGACGAGGCCGUUAUUUUGGAGAUUUCACGUCCUUACACUUCCAUAUAGUGUAGACCGGACAUGUAAAAGACUAGAGUCUCGUGAGUUCUGUCACUGUGAACAGUGAAUAGAAAUACUACACACACAAAAAAAGUCUGCUAAUCUUCUUGCUUAGUCUAGAACAGCAGAGGGUUUCUUACCCGAGCACGGAUUCCCAGGAGCCAAAAAAAUAUAGACGCGCAAGUUUCCGAUCAGGGCGAUCCUGAGAUGUGAUUUAAUUUAUUUCAUUAUGUACUUGUUCAAUUUCAUUUAUUUAUAUAGUCAACAUAUGACCAUCUUCCGAUCAAUUGCUCAAUUGUUUUUCUUUACAUAAACACAAAGAAUAAUAAGAGAUUACAUGCCAAACGAAAAAAUUUGGUUUGCUUCUACAUACUUUUACAUUAUGAUAUCUAUACUUUAACGAAAAAUCGAAAUAUUAAACCUUGAACACUAUAAAGCCUUUAAGAAGAUACAAGCUUUUAUUUCUCAAUUAAUUUCAUUUUUUUCCCCUGAAAACAAAUGCAAACUUUAGUUCUAAUCUCGUACAUCCAAAUAGGUACAUAUAGACAAUGUUGAAUGUUUAUCUAAUAUGUAAUUUAAAAAUAAUAGCCGAGCAAUUGCAAAUGAUCUUUAUUGAAAAAUAAAAGAAAAGGAAAAGACAAUUGCUACGCAUCCUGAUUUUAUGCCUCCACUGGUAACUUGAUUUUUACAUAUACGUCAGUAAUAACUCACACUUCCAAGAUGUGGCAUAUCCACAAACAAUCAUGUCAGCUAUAUUCUAAAUAGUCAUAACACGUUCCAGAAAGGGGGGAAAGCAAAAGAAUUAGUAUCAUAUACGGAGAAUUGAACAAACUUUGGAGAAAACAUAAGGAGCAAAAAAAUGACCUGGAAUUUAAAACACAUCCCACUGUAACGAAAUCACUGCUCGAACAUGCAGUUGUUUGAAUCUGAACACGAGGCUUGGAAAUGGAAGUAGAGGGUUGUGGAGUUAUGUCCAAGGGAAGACCUUUCUCCUUUAGGCCAUUUUGCUAUCAAAGUUCCGCAACUGGAUGCACACAGUAGCAUGCAACAUACACACCUGGAUAGGUUCAAACUUCAAAGGGUGAUCAUGAAUUAAAAAACAGGGUCAGUUAUGACUGGAGACAAGGCAUAGGAGUAUGUCAGAGAACUGACAGACCACCCAGCCAGGACUCCGUCUGGAGACGUUACUCUACUACUGCUUAAAUGACCAACUGAUCUGGUUAUGUACUCGCAUUUCAUCCACCAGAGCUGGUCACCUGCCUCCUUGUAAAUCAAAGAUACAGAGUUAGAGCAAGUCCAAGAUAUGCCAUAUAUGAUGUCCUAAGUCAUAAUUUAGGACAUUUGGUAAAAAGACUUGAUCCAACAAUGUCCUAGUGAUGCCUUAUAUCACUAGGACGAGCUCCUCAAGCCUUAUUUUUGAAGCACAUCUUUGCUUGCCCUAUCCUAUAUUUUAUAGUAAAAUAUUACCCAUCUCUUCCUUUUAUUGUCCUUUAAUGAUGAAAGAAAACUUCUAAUAAUAAAAUAUUAAAUUUGUAAUAAGGAUAAGGCACAUUGUUGGAGUUGAAGUUAGUUAAGUAUGUCCUAAAUCACUGGGACAUAAUUUUCUAUAUUAUAUUUAAGACAUCAACUAGGACACUCUUGGACUUGCUCUAUGAGCCCAUAGAAAAGAUCUAGUUCAAGUAAGGUCAUAAGCUGGAAACAAUAUUUCCUUUCAAUAUGGAACUAGUCCCCAGGUUGCGCCUGCCACUAUUUAAAUAUAAUUUUAAGUUUAGAGAAAGACAAGGUAAGGUCCAGGACCAAACUAAGCAUGCAACAGGACCAAGUGAUUUCAUUAUCUUGAUAAUAUGAAGUAAUACAACACUCAAAUCCUAAAAUUCCUUUUUAUCAUGCUUCUUAGAAACCGUUAAGACUGCUAUACUGACUAGACAGCAUUUGCGUUAACUAACUUCUUGGAAGCACAGAUAUUUUCGGAAGCAUCUACAUAAAACUGUAGAUAAAACAUUAAUAGCUGAAAAUGAUAAAAUCCCAACUUCAGCUAGGAACUAUAGCCAGAAUAUUAUGUGCAUCAUUAAGGUCAAAUGAACAU
rnacentral:lncRNA from 1 species